UACGGAGGGUGCAAGCGGUAUCCGGAAUCACUGGGUUUAAAGGGUGCGUAGGUGGCAUCGUAAGUCAGAAGUGAAAGUUUGCGGCUUAACCGUAAAAUUGCUUUUGAUACUGCAAUGCUUGAAUCAGGUUGAGGUUGGCGGAAUGUGGCAUGUAGCGGUGAAAUGCUUAGAUAUGCCAUAGAACACCGAUUGCGAAGGCAGCUGACUGGACCUGUAUUGACGCUGAGGCACGAAAGCGUGGGGAGCGAACAGG
rnacentral:rRNA from 1 species